rnacentral:rRNA from 1 species
AGCAUUUNAGGUUUAACCUGCCCACUGAUUAAUUAAAUGGCCGCAGUAAUUUGACUGUGCAAAGGUAGCAUAAUAAUUAGUUUUUUAAUUUAAAGCUUGUAUGAAUGGUUGGACGAAAUAAAUACUGUCUCUAAAUAAUAAAUAGAAUUUAAUUUUUAAGUUWAAAAGCUUAAAUAAUAAUAAAAGACGAGAAGACCCUAUAGAUCUUUAUAAUAUUUUUUAUAUUUUUAAUUAAGAUUAUUUUAUUAUUUAUAAUGAAUAUUAUUAUAUUGGGGUAAUAGAAAGAUUAAAUAAAUUCUUUAUUAURUAAAUAUAGAUUAAUAGAUUAAUGAUCCUUUAUUAAAGAUUAUAAGAUUAAGUUACCUUAGGGAUAACAGCGUAAUUUUUUUGAAGAGUUCAUAUCGAUAAAAAAGUUUGCGACCUCGAUGUUGGAUUAAAAWUUAUUCUAAGUGYAGUAGUUUAGARUUUUGGUCUGUUCGACCAUUAAAUUUUUACRUGAUCUGAGUUUAGACCGGUGUAAGCCAGGUCGGUUUCUAUCUUUAUUAAAUUAGUAUAUUUUAGUACGAAAGGACCAAAUAUAGAAUAUAUUWAUAUUUAUAUUUUUGAAUUAUA